GAUGAACGCUGGCGGCGUGCCUAAUACAUGCAAGUCGAGCGAACGGACGAGAAGCUUGCUUCUCUGAUGUUAGCGGCGGACGGGUGAGUAACACGUGGAUAACCUACCUAUAAGACUGGGAUAACUUCGGGAAACCGUAGCUAAUACCGGAUAAUAUUUUGAACCGCAUGGUUCAAAAGUGAAAGACGGUCUUGCUGUCACUUAUAGAUGGAUCCGCGCUGCAUUAGCUAGUUGGUAAGGUAACGGCUUACCAAGGCAACGAUGCAUAGCCGACCUGAGAGGGUGAUCGGCCACACUGGAACUGAGACACGGUCCAGACUCCUACGGGAGGCAGCAGUAGGGAAUCUUCCGCAAUGGGCGAAAGCCUGACGGAGCAACGCCGCGUGAGUGAUGAAGGUCUGCGGAUCGUAAAACUCUGUUAUUAGGGAAGAACAUAUGUGUAAGUAACUGUGCACAUCUUGACGGUACCUAAUCAGAAAGCCACGGCUAACUACGU
rnacentral:rRNA from 1 species